rnacentral:rRNA from 1 species
AGAAUCAAUGCUGGCGGCGUGCCUAACACAUGCAAGUCGAACGAGAAAGUGGAGCAAUCCAUGAGUAAAGUGGCGCACGGGUGAGUAACACGUGACUAACCUACCCUCGAGUGGGGAAUAACCUAGGGAAACCUGGGCUAAUACCGCAUAAUACCUACGGGUCAAAGGAGCAAUUCGCUUGAGCGAGGGGGUCGCGGCCGAUUAGUUAGUUGGCGGGGUAAUGGCCCACCAAGACGAUGAUCGGUA